AAUGAACGCUGGCGGCGCGCCUAAUACAUGCAAGUCGAGCGAGAAGACGUAGCAAUACGUUUGUAAAGCGGCGAACGGGUGAGGAAUACAUGGGUAACCUACCCUUGAGCGGGGAAUAACUAGCUGAAAGGUUAGCUAAUACCGCGUACGCUUCCUGGACUUCGGUUCAGGGAGGAAAGCGAUGCCGGGGGUAUCGCGCUCUUGGAUGGGCGUCAUGUCCUAUCAGCUUGUUGGUGAGGUAACGGCUCACCAAGGCUUCGACGGGUAGCUGGUCUGAGAGGACGGAUCAGCCACACUGGCACUGCGACACGGGCCAGACUCCUACGGGAGGCAGCAGUAAGGAAUAUUGCGCAAUGGGCGAAAGCCCGACGCA
rnacentral:rRNA from 1 species